AACCAAUGAGGUUUCUGACGCUAAACUCAUGUCAGGCACAGAACAGAAGCAGCAUCCAUGGAGAGCGGCGCGUGGCCCCACGCGCUUGUGAAGAUGUCUACCCUACACCUUCGCCGCCGUCAUAAUUUCCGUCGCCAUUGGCGUAUCUGUCCUCGGCGCCGCCUUGGGCAUUUAUAUAACCGGAAGCAGUUUGAUCGGUGCUGCAAUCAAAGCUCCCCAUAUUCCUUCCAAGUACCAAGAGUUUAGUUAGUGUUAUCUUUUGUGAAGCUGUUGCAAUUUAUGGCUUUAUUGUGGCAAUUAUUCUACAAACAAAGUUAGAGUGUUCCAAAAUCACAGAUUUAUGUACCUAAGUCUCUUAGAGCAGGAUAUGCGAUCUUUGCCUCUGGGAUUAUUGUGGGCUUUUUAAACCUUGUCUGCGGAUUCUUCUUUUGACAACAGGCUAUGUGUGAGAAUCAUUGGAAGCAGUUGCGCAGUUGCGCUUUGUCUGAUGCUCAAAACUUCUCUCUUUUUGUAAAGAUUCUUGUUAUCGAAAUCUUUGGUAGUGCACUUGGGUUGUUUGGAGUGAUGGUGGGAAUUAUUAUGUCAGCUCAAGCCACAUGGCCUGCAAAAACAGUGUAAUUUUCUACUCUAAAUGGAACAUUAGGAAUUGGUUAUGACACAGUAUCAUAAAUAUGCUCUGUAUUCUUUCAUCCGUUAUUAAUAGACAUGUUAAUAGUUUGUGCGGA